UUUCCGUAGGUGAACCUGCGGAAGGAUCAUUAACGAGUUAGGGUCUUCUAGGCCCGACCUCCCAACCCUUUGUUUACUGAACCAUAGUUGCCUCGGUGGGUCCGUCUUACGACCCCCGGGGGAUCGCCGCAAGGCCCCCACUGGCCAGCGCCCACCGAUAGCCCAACCUUUAAAACCCUUUGUUAAUCGUGUCUUAUGUCUAAAUUUAUGAUUAACAAAUCAAAACAAAACUUUCAACAACGGAUCUCUUGGUUCUG
rnacentral:misc_RNA from 1 species